UACGUAGGCAGCGAGCGUUGUUCGGAGUUACUGGGCGUAAAGAGCGCGCAGGCGGUCGUGCAAGUCGCGUGUGAAAGCCCCCGGCUCAACUGGGGAGGGUCACGCGAUACUGCUCGACUCGAAGGCAGGAGAGGGAAGUGGAAUUCCCGGUGUAGUGGUGAAAUGCGUAGAUAUCCGAAGGAACACCGGUGGCGAAGGCGGCACGCUGGGUCCCUACUGACGCUGAGGCGCGAAAGCCAGGGGAGCGAACGGG
rnacentral:rRNA from 1 species